UACGGAGGGUGCAAGCGUUAUCCGGAUUCACUGGGUUUAAAGGGUGCGUAGGUGGGCAAGUAAGUCAGUGGUGAAAUCUCCGGGCUUAACCCGGAAACUGCCAUUGAUACUAUUUGUCUUGAAUACUGUGGAGGUCAGCGGAAUAUGUCAUGUAGCGGUGAAAUGCUUAGAUAUGACAUAGAACACCAAUGGCGAAGGCAGCUGGCUACACAAAUAUUGACACUGAGGCACGAAAGCGUGGGGAUCAAACAGG
rnacentral:rRNA from 1 species